rnacentral:tRNA from 1 species
AGGACUUUAGCUUAAUUAAAAGUUUUUGAGUUGCAUUCAUAAGAUGUAGGAUAGUUACCUGCUCGUCCUA